ensembl:snRNA U6 U6 spliceosomal RNA
AUGAUCGCUUCAGCAGCACAAACACUAAAAUUGGAACAAUACAGAAAAGAUUAUCAUCCCUGCGCAAGGAUGACACACAAAUUCAUGAAGUAUUCUGUAUUUUU